UUCCAAGGAGGGAAGGGGUGUCAGUUCUACUGGCUCUUCAGAAAUCCCAGUGAAUGUUGCAUGGUUGUACGUUGGGGAACAGAGGAUUCUUCCUAGAUGAAGAAAUGUACCUAUUCUGCUUAAUCACCAAGCAAUACCUAGGUGUUUGUUAUGCUUUCCAGUACACAUUCCCUGUUGCAAAAAACAACUUUCUAGUUUUGCCAAUCUAGUUUUAAGUAAGGGACAAAGGAAUCUGACUAGAACUUGUAAUGAAAGGAGAGAGGAGACAUGCCGUCAAAAUCACAGCAUAUUUAAUUUUAUCUCAUCUUAUAAAUUUGUCAGAAUUGAGCUACUCCUUGGUUUUGGCUCUGUCGAGAAUAAUGGUCUUAGAAAUGAAUGUUCAUACAUAGUAUAGCAGAAAAAUUAAAAGAUUCAUGAGACCUG
rnacentral:lncRNA from 1 species